rnacentral:tRNA from 1 species
GUAGUUGUAGCUCAGUGGUAGAGAGCUUGCCUAGCAUGUGUGAGGCACUGAGUUCGAGCCUCAGCACCACA